GUCUACGGCCAUACCACCCUGAAUGUGCCCAGUCUCAUCUGAUCUCGGAAGUCAAGUGGGGUAGGGCCUGGUUAAUACUUGGAUGGGAGAAGGAAAUCUUAUCCUGAAGCUC
ensembl:rRNA 5S_rRNA 5S ribosomal RNA